UCACAGGAGAGCAGGGAACUGAAACUCCAAACCUCAGUUCUUAAGUUCUGACAAAAGAAAAAUUUAAAGUCAGACACCAAAAGCCAUGCAAGAGAACUUACUAUAAGUGAGGUGAAAAUAAAGUACAAGAAAAGUGAGGCUUAAGCAAAGAGCACUCAAAGAAUGGAUGAUCUCUGUGCAAAGAAUAACAAGGGAGACAAUGCUGUCCUCCAAUUUUAUUACUGUUUGAGGUUUACCAGGAGAACUAGUGACCACCUUCGUACUCAUUGCAAUCAGGUGUUCAACUCCUCCUUCACAUUGGGUGGCAGGUGGCAGAGUUUUUGACCUUAAUUGGUUCUCUCUGGAACUGUGAUGGUGGCCAUCCUAUUUAGAGGGGCUUCAUCUACAAGUCAAUCCCAUGUUAAUGAGGGCACUGAGGUCAAUAGCUGGUCAGAAGUUACCUCAGUAGGCCUGUGCUACUAAAGGAAUCUUCCUUCCCAGACAAUUGGAGACACUUAUAGACAUAAUUCCUAACUUCACAUCAACCUCAGUGGACUCUGUCAAGAGUCCUUUCCUCUUGAUGUGAUUUUCAACUAGCUCCCUUGCUUCUGUUUAUUGUCUACAAAUUAACUAUUACCCUUUGCUUUCUGGUCUACUUUGGAAUUAGUUUAAAGCAGACCCUAAAGUAAUUUAAAGAACACUUGUGACCUUGCCUGCAUUUUACUGCUCAUUGCUAGCUACCACCUAACAGUAGGGUGCUUGCCAAGUACAGGUGAGACCCUGGGUUCAAUCCCAGCACCACCACCACCAUCAAAAAAAAAAAAAUCUACAAUGGGUUUUCUUUCUUUUUUUGGUCCAUUGAUUUCACUGAUUUGUUUACUCUUUGACCAUCCACUCUCUGACCUCCUAGGAGGUUUCUGACAAGGUGUCUUUGCCUCCAUGUGUUAUCUAGACUAUUGAUUAUAAAACUCUAGUUUUCUGAUCAUCUGCUCAUUUUAGACUUCUGCCUCUUAAAACAGUCAAUUUUAGGCAGACCACACCCAUCACCUCCUGUCUUCACUCCCUCCCAUCAUUGGACGUGUCUUCCUACUGGGCCCACCACCCAGUGAGCCUUCACCCAUUAGAAAGAAAUUCAGGCAGAGGAGAAAUAUCCACAUAGUGAAAUCCUGUGCAGCCACUAAAAUUUAUCUUCACUAACCAUUUCAACGGGGAACUGUUUACACUGGAAUUGUGAUUUGGUCAAAAGCAAAGACCUAGGCCUCAAUGGAAAUAAACGGAUUGAGGAAGGUGAUCUGAGUCCAAGACGGCUCCCUUCUCUGCUAAGCAAUGUGUGAAAGCAAAAGAAAGAGUUCUUUCUUAAUAAAUUCAGUAUGGUUAGUUCAAAGGAAUACGGCCAGAGUUGAAAAGUAUCAUUCAGAGUAGAUUUGGGAGAUGCUUAAAAAGAAAACAAAUCUUCUAGAUGUAGAACUUGCUGAAAUUUCAACUCUCCUAGGAAGGAAAGAGCAAAAGCCAGGAUGAAAGACCUCUGCUCUUUACCUCAUCCCUGCACCCAGGGACUGGAGGGAUCCUCAUUACCCAUCACCUUUGUUACCAGGACCAACAAAAAGAACAGCCUUGACCCUGAAAUGUUGGGUAAAGAAUUAUUUGCAAACUAAAAGAGAGAAAACUCCAAUGCCCACCAGUAUAUGAGAAGAGCAAGAAAAUGAAGCUGAGCAAGUACAAGAAAAACCAGAGGUGGAGGAGACAUUCACCCAGCCCUGCCCUGCCCAGGGGGAGCAGCUGCUUCUCAGCUCCCAGCAGCUGCUGUUCCACAGGAAUGUGGGCCCGGCAUUGUCAGAUCUCAAUGUUCUUUCAAAAGAGGCUAGAAAUACAGGUUUUCAUAUGAAAAAUAGGCAUAAAUACACUCACACUACACCAAAGGGGGAAUAGCUGUUAUUUUGGGGUGGUGAAAUUGGGAGUCAUUUUCCUUUUUAUUUUUACACUUAACUAGAGGCUUUUGAAUUUUAACUGCGAACAUGACAUUACUUUUAUAAUCAGAGAAAAGAUAAUGCUGCUUAUUAAAUAUUUUAAAAUGAAUUAACUAAACAGGGCAUUAAAAUAAGGAUCAAACAACAAAUGCUACAGGAACAAUCUCCAGAUGUAUGCUAACAUGUGACUUGAUUUUAUGUUUUGUGAUUAAAGUUUGCAAUAUAUACCAACUAUAGCAACAUGCCAAGCCUCAGGCCUCCUGAUUCUAGGUUGGUGGUCACUAUGUGGAGGUAUCGUUUCCACAUCAGGAUUUAUAAAAACAAAUUUUUCCAUGGUAUUAUCAUCAUUUCUGUUUAAUUAAGAAUUUAGGUCAGCUUCUAUAAUGUGUCCUGACUCUGGCUAGACGUUGGAAAAAAAGAACAGUCCAUGCUUCCUGCAAACUAAUUACAAGAUGGUCUAGAUAGGGUACUUUGGAGUAUCAAGUGAGUUAAAAUUUGUAAAGCACUUUAGAUAGAUGCUUGGCACAAAGCAGGCCCCAAAUGAACGUUAUAGUUCUCUUUUGGUAUUGACUUUGUUAACAUCAUUGUUAUUAUUCAAGAAGCAGCAGUUAAGAAUGAAGGAAAUGAUCAAGCAAAAGAUGGAGAAGGAAAAGAAAAUCCUUGGAAAUAGAACAAGUGGGAACAAGAAGAGAGGAAGAGGUGAUUUAAAGGAAAAGGUGGGGGGCAUUGAGCACAGUAGAUGUCACAAAGUAUGAUUCUAAUAAAGUUUCAUUCUGAAUGUAAAGCCUUAUGUAAAGUUAAGAGGGUUGUCUUUAGAAGGGAGUUGAGAAGGACAGAGGGAUGCCAUGUGCCAAAACAAACUCCCACUUUCUCAUCAGCUCAGUGUCAGACCUGGCCACACACAUUCAACAGACUUGGUGGACAAAGCACCUCUGCACCGCUUCUGUGAAGCAUGGGGUUAAGCACUAAACUCGCAUGCAUUUUCUCCUUGCAGAGCCCUCUGUACCCAGGAGAUUUCUGUGAUUGACACCAGAGGACCUUGGCUCAAAGUUAAUGAUUUUGUUCCUUUUGAAUUCCUGUGAGAUUGUAUUUCUUUGGGUUCCAGGAGUUCAGUGGGACCUCUGUAGUGAUUUUAGUCCAGGAACACUUGCUGUGAUAAAAAGAAACUACAGGGAAGGCUUGCUGCUUGUCUGCCUGGUGCUGUUUCCCAAUGCAAUUGUGAAUAUGUGCUUUCAGAGAAUGCAGGAAGAGAUUCUAUUUCCAGGGCCUGGUCAUGAGACUUCUGUCUAAAAAACUGAGAGGUCAGAAUCUUGUGCUAUGCACACAUGUUCCCUACCUGGAAGCAACCCUUUCAGGCUAGAGUCACGCGGACUCUAAAAUGAUGUUUGCAUAGACAAAAGUGUGAUUAUCAACUUGCUCUGACUUCUCAAUGAUUACACAACAGGCCACCAGUUGAUAAACAGCUUUAUCGUUAGAUAUACUUCAGCAUUCAACUAUGCCAUCAUUUCAUUUUUUGUGUUGAACUGGUGUUUUGUUUUCUUGCUCUCUUUCCCCAAUCACUCCCUUCCCUCACUGAAGUAAGAAACCAGGGUAGGAAAGUAAAUACCUGCUCGAACUGAUAAUGAAUUAUUAAAAUUUCUGCUUCACCAUAGAAAACCAGAUUCUGGCACUAUUACCUAUGUUGGCCCAGAAAUGCAAUUUUUAAUCUCCCUGGCCCCAAAGAAAUCACAGAAGUCUCCCUUUUGCUUUGUAGCUUCCGACAGGGGCCCAGAUUCUAUCUGUGUCAAUGAUAUUCUGGAUGUAGGAGCUCUCAGUGCCUUGGGCCAGGCAGAGGCACAAGAAAACUUCG
rnacentral:lncRNA from 1 species